CCUACGGGGGGCAGCAGUGAGGAAUAUUGGUCAAUGGACGAGAGUCUGAACCAGCCAAGUAGCGUGAAGGAUGACUGCCCUAUGGGUUGUAAACUUCUUUUAUAUGGGAAUAAAAUGUUCCACGUGUGGGAUUUUGUAUGUACCAUAUGAAUAAGGAUCGGCUAACUCCGUGCCAGCAGCCGCGGUAAUACGGAGGAGCCGAGCGUUAUCCGGAUUUAUUGGGUUUAAAGGGAGCGUAGGUGGAUUGUUAAGUCAGUUGUGAAAGUUUGCGGCUCAACCGUAAAAUUGCAGUUGAAACUGGCAGUCUUGAGUACAGUAGAGGUGGGCGGAAUUCGUGGUGUAGCGGUGAAAUGCUUAGAUAUCACGAAGAACUCCGAUUGCGAAGGCAGUUCACUGGACUGCAACUGACACUGAGGCUCGAAAGUGUGGGUAUCAAACAGGAUUAGAUACCCCAGUAGUC
rnacentral:rRNA from 1 species